UACGAAGGUCCCAAGCGUUAUCCGGAAUCAUUGGGUUUAAAGGGUCCGUAGGCGGUUUUGUAAGUCAGUGGUGAAAUCUGGUCGCUCAACGAUCAAACGGCCAUUGAUACUGCAAGACUUGAAUUACUGGGAAGUAACUAGAAUAUGUAGUGUAGCGGUGAAAUGCUUAGAUAUUACAUGGAAUACCAAUUGCGAAGGCAGGUUACUACCAGUGGAUUGACGCUGAUGGACGAAAGCGUGGGGAGCGAACAGG
rnacentral:rRNA from 1 species